rfam:Spirochaeta sp. JC202, whole genome shotgun sequence.
GCCGCUGUAGCUCAGUCGGUAGAGCAGUGGACUGAAAAUCCAUGUGUCAAGAGUUCAAUUCUCUUCGGUGGCA